CACGCAGGCGGUCAUGCAAGUCAGCUGUUAAAUGGAUGGGCUUAACCUAUUCAUGCGGUUGAAACUGUAUGGCUAGAGUACUGGAGAGGUAAGCGGAAUUCCCGGUGUAGCGGUGAAAUGCGUAGAUAUCGGGAAGAACACCAGUGGCGAAGGCGGCUUACUGGCCAGUAACUGACGCUGUGGUGCGAAAGCCAGGGGAGCGAACC
rnacentral:rRNA from 1 species